rnacentral:rRNA from 1 species
GCAUAUCAAUAAGCGGAGGAAAAGAAACUAACAAGGAUUCCCCUAGUAGCGGCGAGCGAAGCGGGAAGAGCUCAAAUUUAUAAUCUGGCACCUUCGGUGUCCGAGUUGUAAUCUCUAGAAAUGUUUUCCGCGUUGGACCGCACACAAGUCUGUUGGAAUACAGCGGCAUAGUGGUGAGACCCCCGUAUAUGGUGCGGACGCCCAGCGCUUUGUGAUACAUUUUCGAAGAGUCGAGUUGUUUGGGAAUGCAGCUCAAAUUGGGUGGUAAAUUCCAUCUAAAGCUAAAUAUUGGCGAGAGACCGAUAGCGAACAAGUACCGUGAGGGAAAGAUGAAAAAGCACUUUGGAAAGAGAGUUAACAGUACGUGAAAUUGUUGGAAGGGAAACGCUUGAAGUCAGACUUGCUUGCCGAGCAAUCGGUUUGCAGGCCAGCAUCAGUUUUCCGGGAUGGAUAAUGGUAGAGAGAAGGUAGCAGUUUCGGCUGUGUUAUAGCUCUCUGCUGGAUACAUCUUGGGGGACUGAGGAACGCAGUGUGCCUUUGGCGGGGGUUUCGACCUCUUCACACUUAGGAUGCUGGUGGAAUGGCUUUAAACGACCCGUCUUGAAACACGGACC